rnacentral:lncRNA from 1 species
UGAUAGAUGUAAAUAAAAACGAAAACAAGAGGGAGAAGUAGUAAAAGUGCGCGUAAUUGGAUUAGCGAAUAUUAGUGAACUAAUUAGUAGAAGCAAGUGAGUUUUGAGGUGUUUUGGAACGAGUUCGAUCAGACCAGCAUACAAGUUAGGAGGGAGUCGAGAUUCCAAAAUCGCAUGAAAGACGACACGAGAGACAGUUCACAGACAACGAGACAUUUAACGGACAGGUAAAACGAGCAAGUUACAAUAACAUUAAAUGUAUGAUGUAAUUAAUUUGUGACAGAUAACAGACGUACAUUAAGAACGGACACUUAAGUUGUGCUGUUUGGAAAUACUGCCGGAGAAGUCGAGAUAGUGCAAAGCACACAACGAGCUUGGAGGAGGAAAGUCAAGGGAAGGAAGCAAACUAAAAUUGUAAGUGGGAUAUUUUACAUGUAACUCGCUAAAUG